rnacentral:rRNA from 1 species
AUUGACCUCGGAUCAGGUAGGGAUACCCGCUGAACUUAAGCAUAUCAAUAAGCGGAGGAAAAGAAACCAACAGGGAUUGCCUCAGUAACGGCGAGUGAAGCGGACACCGCCUC